rnacentral:lncRNA from 1 species
CUGUACUGGCCCUGAAAUCGGUCAAAUUGGAGCUUCGUGGCCGCACUCCCCGAUAUGCUUGUGGUCCCUGCUGGCACACCCCAGUUGGGGAGCCUUGCCAUCCUUAUAGGCAGAGCAGUUUUAUGUCGGAAUCAUGUGACACUUUUGCAGAAGAAGCUUACCCCCACUGAGGUGAAGAGUCGCCCAGAUACCGAGGACUGUAGGCCCCCGGUCCUGGAGUAUUGGGUGCGGAGAACGUUUUGCGUUGGCCAGUCCCCAGACCGUACGAUGGGGAUCCCGAGCUCUGUUUGGCGUCAUACGCGCCAGGGCCUGGAGAGGAGUCGGCCUUCGUAGCCGCUCUACGGCCUGCCAUGGACCACUGCGGCGCAGCUCGUGCACUUUGCUUGGAAGGGUCGUAGGCGCCUGGCCCUGGGAAGGGCUGAGCACGUGACCGUCCUCGAACUUCGCUUCCAAAACUACGGAGAUAAAGCAUAACCCGGGAGGUGAAGUGACAGCAGACGGCGGUUGAGCCCCUCUGUAACCGAACUUGGUUUGCCAUACUAUUUAGCAGUGGAGCAACAGACGUCGUCCCACUGCAAGGCGGGCUGCGUCCUUCGUUCGGACGACGCGUACUCUCAUUUGAGACCUCAUGCCCUCCACGCGCACAGUAUGUUUGAGUAGAUGAGGAUUUAUUCUUGGUGGGUGUUCUCUGUUGAUUGCGACCGCUCUCCCCAGUAGAGGGACGGCUGGAAGUGAUCUGGAUGUGAUGCGUGUCAGCGCCCAUCCAUGCGGGCUAGCGGCACAACAGGGGACGGGUCUAUCAGCGACUGUCUUGACGGGUUAGAGCUGGUGGGGAUUCUGAGCUCCGACUAGACUCGGAGCAUAACCUGUUCUCAGACGUUAACUAGGAACCCUGAUAAUUUUAGUCCUAUGGAACUGAGUGAAAAGCCUAGCAUGUGCCGCCAGAUUUCUGAUGGCACCUCUCCACAACUUUCGAGAUUCAUCUUCCUCCCCUU